rnacentral:rRNA from 1 species
GUGGUCAAGCUACAAAGGGCUGAUGGUGGAUACCUAGGCACACAGAGGCGAAGAAGGACGCGGUUACCUGCGAUAAGCUCCGGGGAGUUGGAAGCAAGCAUUGAUCCGGAGGUGUCCGAAUGGGGCAACCCAGAAUACGGCUGGUUGAAUACAUAGGCCAGUGCGAGCGAACUCAGCGAAUUGAAACAUCUUAGUAGCUGAAGGAAGAGAAAGAAAACUCGAUUCCCCUAGUAGCGGCGAGCGAAGCGGGAAGAGCCUAAACCAUAGUUUUUCAACUAUGGGGUUGUGGGACAGCGAUAUGGAAUCUAGCGGCUAGACGAAGCAGCUGAAAACUGCACCAGAGGAGGUGAAAGUCCUGUAGUCGAAAGCUUAAGGAUACUAGCUGGAUCCCGAGUAGGUUGGGGCACGUGGAAUCCCGAUUGAAUCAGCGAGGACCACCUCGUAAGGCUAAAUACUCCUGUGUGACCGAUAGUGAAUAGUACCGCGAGGGAACGGUGAAAAGAACCCCGGGAGGGGAGUGAAAUAGAACAUGAAACCAUCAGCUUACAAGCAAUCGAAGCCCGAUUAAACGGGUGACGGUGUGCCUGUUGAAGAAUGAGCCGGCGACUUAUAGGCACUGGUAGGUUAAGAGGGGAAUCUCGAAGCCAAAGCGAAAGCGAGUCUGAAUAGGGCGUUAAUCAGUGUUUAUAGACCCGAACCCCGGUGAUCUAACCAUGGGCAGGAUGAAGCUUGGGUAACACCAAGUGGAGGUCCGAACCGACUGAUGUUGAAAAAUCAGCGGAUGACCUGUGGUUAGGGGUGAAAUGCCAAUCGAACCGGGAGCUAGCUGGUUCUCCCCGAAAUGUGUUGAGGCGCAGCGGUAAUGAUUAUAUCUGGGGGGUAAAGCACUGAUUCGGUGCGGGCUGCGAGAGCGGUACCAAAUCGAGUCAAACUCUGAAUACCCAGAGGACACAUUGCCAGUGAGACGGUGGGGGAUAAGCUUCAUCGUCAAGAGGGAAACAGCCCAGACCACCAGCUAAGGUCCCCAAAUCACAACUAAGUGAUAAAGGAGGUGGAAUUGCAGAGACAACCAGGAGGUUUGCCUAGAAGCAGCCAUCCUUAAAAGAGUGCGUAAUAGCUCACUGGUCAAGCGAUUCUGCGCCGAAAAUGAACGGGGCUAAGUUGUGUACCGAAGCUGUGGGAUUUUUAAACAAAUCGGUAGGGGAGCGUUCCGUAGUAGUUAGAAGCAUUAGCGAGAGCAGGUGUGGACGAAGCGGAAGUGAGAAUGUCGGCUUGAGUAGCGAAAACAUUGGUGAGAAUCCAAUGCCCCGAAACCCUAAGGAUUCCUCCGGAAGGCUCGUCCGCGGAGGGUUAGUCGGGACCUAAGGCGAGGCCGAGAGGCGUAGUCGAUGGACAUCAGGUUAAUAUUCCUGGACUAUUGGGUGGGAGCAUUGUUGGGGACGCAUAAGAGAUAGCCAAGCCCUGAAUGGAUUGGGAGGGGGUUACGACCCCCGUUUGGUGAAGAGUAGUGCCAAGAAAAGCCAGCAAUGCGAUGAACAUUCAGUACCCGUACUAGAAACCGACACAGGUGGGAAGGUUGAGAAUACCAAGGGGCGCGAGAUAACUCUCUCUAAGGAACUCGGCAAAAUGGCCCCGUAACUUCGGGAGAAGGGGUGCCACCGAGAGGUGGUCGCAGUGAAGAGUCCCAGGCGACUGUUUACCAAAAACACAGGUCUCUGCUAACUCGUAAGAGGAUGUAUAGGGGCUGACGCCUGCCCAGUGCCGGAAGGUUAAGGAAGUCGGUCAGGGGGAAACCCUGAAGCUGGCGACCGAAGCCCCGGUGAACGGCGGCCGUAACUAUAACGGUCCUAAGGUAGCGAAAUUCCUUGUCGGGUAAGUUCCGACCCGCACGAAAGGCGUAACGAUCUGGGAGCUGUCUCGGAGAGAGGCUCGGCGAAAUAGGAUUGUCUGUGAAGAUACGGACUACCUGCACCUGGACAGAAAGACCCUAUGAAGCUUUACUGUAGCCUGGUAUUGGGUUCGGGCUUUGCUUGCGCAGGAUAGGUGGGAGACGUUGAAGCAUUCCUUGUGGGGAGUGUGGAGUCAACGGUGAGAUACCACUCUAGCAAGGCUAGAAUUCUAACCUUUACCCGUGAUCCGGGAAGGGAACAGUAUCAGGUGGGCAGUUUGACUGGGGCGGUCGCCUCCUAAAAGGUAACGGAGGCGCACAAAGGUUCCCUCAGGCUGGUUGGAAAUCAGCCGGAGAGUGUAAAGGCAUAAGGGAGCUUGACUGCAAGAGCAACAACUCGAGCAGGGUGGAAACACGGUCUUAGUGAUCCGACGGCGCUGAGUGGAAGGGCCGUCGCUCAACGGAUAAAAGUUACUCUAGGGAUAACAGGCUGAUCUCCGCCAAGAGUUCACAUCGACGCGGAGGUUUGGCACCUCGAUGUCGGCUCAUCGCAACCUGGGGCGGUAGUACGUCCCAAGGGUUGGGCUGUUCGCCCAUUAAAGCGGUACGUGAGCUGGGUUCAGAACGUCGUGAGACAGUUCGGUCCAUAUCCGGUGCAGGCGUAAGAGCAUUGAGAGGAAUCCUCCUUAGUACGAGAGGACCGGGAGGAACGCACCGCUGGUGUACCUGUUAUCGUGCCAACGGUAAACGCAGGGUAGCCAAGUGCGGAGCGGAUAACCGCUGAAAGCAUCUAAGUGGGAAGCCCACCUCAAGAUGAGUGCUCUCAUGGAGUUAAUCCAGUAAGGUCACGGGCAGAACACCCGUUGAUAGGCGUUAAGUGGAAGUUCAGUAAUGGAUGAAGCUGAGGCGUACUAACAGACCGAGGGCUUGACCUCA